UACGGAGGGUGCAAGCGUUGUUCGGAAUUACUGGGCGUAAAGGGCUCGUAGGCGGCCAACUAAGUCAGACGUGAAAUCCCCAGGCUUAACCUGGGAACUGCGUCUGAUACUGGAUGGCUUGAAUUCGGGAGAGGGAUGCAGAAUUCCAGGUGUAGCGGUGAAAUGCGUAGAUAUCUGGAGGAAUACCGGUGGCGAAGGCGGCAUCCUGGACCGAGAUUGACGCUGAUGAGCGAAAGCUAGGGGAGCAAACGGG
rnacentral:rRNA from 1 species